rnacentral:misc_RNA from 1 species
GUCGUAACAAGGUAGCCGUAUCGGAAGGUGCGGCUGGAUCACCUCCUUUCUAAGGAUUUUUACAUGACGUACGUUUUGACACUUUGUUCAGUUUUGAGAGUUCAAUCUCUCAAUUAUAGAAAGCACACUACUUUCUUCUUAUUUAAUAAGAAGAAUUUUGGUUGCGAUUGUUCUUUGAAAACUAGAUAACAGUAAUUGCUGAGGAAAAGUGAAACUUUUCUUUAAUCAAAUCAAUAAAUAACACAACAUUAUGUUGUACCAUUUAUUCGCUAAUGGUUAAGUUAGAAAGGGCGCACGGUGAAUGCCUUGGCACUAGGAGCCGAUGAAGGACGGGACUA